UGUUGUCAUUCGCGCGCCGAGGCUCGUCCGGAAGGGUAGUUGUGCGAGGCAGGUAGAGCCGGGCCAAGUAUUGUCGUAAUAUCUUUCGAAACACAAUCACGAGAAGUGUACCAGCAGAGAUAGAAUUACUACAGAAAAUGAUGCAUUUUGGCAAAUAAAUUUUGUGCCGUGAAAGCAAAGGAUGAAUACAAAAAGAAAAAAGAACUAGAGAGGACAAUGGAACAACUAAUUUGAUAGAGGAAUGUGUAUGCUACAACGUGAGCUAUAACGUGUUUCACAGAUGAUUGUAUACUACAACUCCACCGUUCAUUGCUCAUCGUGUAGCGUCCUAUACAGACAGUUCAUCGCGCAAAAUAAUUUGGUUUAUGAUCGUGAAAUUUAGUGCCGCGCAAAGUAUAACGUGUUCAUAUCGCGAAUGUUUUGUCACGUUUUAAUAAUUGUGGAAAUGUGUAAAAUAUUACGCGUCCGAGUGCGGGAGUGCCGUGCAAAGUGUCGCGUUGCAUAAUAAAUAUUAUUGAAUCAUAUUUUCAAAAGUGAGUGCAACGAAUCCUAACAACCUGAGAGGAGGAGGAGGCCAAGAGGCAUCGGGCAACGGCAGAGCAAC